AACGAGAGGGGGUGGGGGUCUAAAACGAAAGCAUUGCACAGGGAUCUCUUUCUUCAUCAACGAAGAAAGCUUCUUCGUUCAACAAGCUGAAACGAAGAAAGUAGCAAAAAAGCUGCGCUUGGAGGAAAACUGAAACGAGAAAGAGGCUGGGAACAAAAGAAGGUAGCUGCACAUGGAUAACAAAAGAAGGGGAUGAUAACGAAGAAGGGCUGAAAAGCAAAAAGCUGCGCGGACAAAAAAUGACUCCACCCCCCUUUUGGAUCGUUGUCUUCACGAGACUACCCCUGGCCUCGUUUUAAUUUUCCUUCAGAAAACCAGAAAAAGGAGAACAAUACAAGCACCCUCCCCACGUCUUCUUCUUCAUCGAACGACCCCCCACGUAGCUUUCAUCUUCUUCUUCGCUGGAACGAUAGAAGAAAACCCUAGGAGCCUGAAAGAAGAAGCAGCGAUGCCAACCAGCUUCGCCGGAAAUCCGGUGACCUCACCCCUCUCAUUCCAUUACUGCCUCAUCGGCAAAUGACAACACAAACCAGCGACCAAACAACUUAAACCAGCCGCUGUUCAUCGGAAACCAGAGGCACGAUGUCACCGGCGACCACCAUUGAAGCCGGCCAACACACGCACACACAGUCAUGCACAUGAACGGAGUGAGGGAGCGAGCGUAAGGCAGCUGAUGUUUCCGAGUCAUUUUUGAGUUCGAGUCAUGUAGAAUGUUGCCGCGAUCUGUUCGUAUGUCGAGGUAAGGCGGGUUCGGGUCCGGCGAGGUCGUAAAUUUGUCGAGGUUAACGUUCGUAGCUCCGGUGCUGGUUCUGUUUACUUUUGGUCAGUUUUUCUUGCCUCUGAUUAUUCUGUUCACAAGUAUUAUUCAUGAGUUUAAUGCAUCGUUUGAUCAAUUUUCUUGUUUGGAAUAGUUAGUUUAUUUGCUUCAAUUUAAUGAUGAUCUUGAACUUCCAUAAAUGUGUUUUUGAGCUUCUGUCAUUUUCUGCUCUGGGAGGCAUCCCUUGGUGUGAUAUUUUCAUUGUAUAAUUGACGUUGCUAAUUUAAUAAGUUUAUCAGAGAACUUUGUGGAUAGUUGUCUGCUACUAGGAUAUGUUUCGUUUCUUUGUAGAAAGCACUUUGUUGGUUGUUGAGUGUUUCAUAUUUUCGUUUCUUAUGGAAAAUUUAUAAUCCUAAAGAUCUAUAUGAGAUGAUUAGCACAUCAGCGUAUAAGGUUAAUUUCCCAUAAAAAUGAAAAGUUUCUGAUAAUGUGUUUAUGUUAAUGUUUAUGUGUUUAUGGAAAUUAGUGCGCAAUGUGUUGUAUAGUCUUGUAAAAUGAAAAGUUCACCGUGUGGAUUAAUUCGAAGUUGAGCCAUUUGGGUUAUUGGACAUAAAACUAAAAUUAGUGUUUUUUUGCUUUUAGGGAUAUUUGUUUGGUUUUGAUUGUAUACGAGCUGAGGGUCGGUUUGGUUUGCUAAAUUCUAGCAGAACGUUAAUAAGUCAUUAAGUUCUCUUUUGGGUGAAUAUGACCGUGUUUGCUGGAAAUUCAUGGAAGUUGAAGGUCACAUUUUUCUCUCACGUGCUAUAUUCAUGAUCUAUGGCCUUCCUAUAAUCUCAAAGUUUCGGGAGAAUAAUUAAUUGCGCUAGUUGCUUUAGGCGCGUUCUUUUAAUAGUUUUACUUUCCUAAACUCGGGUGUGCAUUUCAUGUGACCCUACCAUAAUUUUGAAUAAUGAUAGUAGAAGUGAACAUGUUAAAACCCGGGGGUGCAUUUCAUGUGACCCAGUUCUAAUUUCCAACAAGGUUAAAUAGAGUGUGUCGUGAAUCGCGGGUGCAUUUCAUGUGGUGUGGCUUGCGAUAUGUUUUAAAUGACCUUGAAUUAAUUCUUUAAAUAAGUAAAAGCAGUUUUCCAAAAGUUAGAAAAAGGCACAUAGGUUUAAAAGUGUUUUAAAAUCAGAUAAUUAGGCCGAUUAUAACAGUUGAGCGACCGUGCUAGAACCACAGAACUCGGGAAUGCCUAACACCUUCUCUCGGGUUAACAGAAUUCCUUACCCGGAUUUCGGGUUCGCAGACUGUUAAACAUAGUCAUAUUUUCCUCGAUUCGGGAUUCAAUCGGUGACUUGGGACACCAUAAAUCUCCCAAGUGGUGACUCUGAAUCUUUUAAAUAAAUCCCGUUUCGAUUGUCCUUUUAUUGGAAAAACUCCUUUACACCCUUUCCGGGGUAUAGAUGAAAAAGGAGGUGUGACAGCUCUGGCGACUCUGCUGGGGAUCGAACCUAGAAUAUCUGGUUCAGGGUUCAAGAAUUUGAGUUUAGAGUAAUUGUUAUAGUUGGUUUUAUUCAUUGUCUGAUUUUGUUACAUGAUUUGGGCCUAAUGUGCUAAUUGAUUGCUUUUACUGCUUUGAUAUUCCGUGAACUGUAUAUAAACUAUUGCGAAAUCCCUCUUCUUUCUGAGUCUUCUAAAUCAUGAAGAAGCGUGCACUUCGUGUGACUUCUUUUAUGUUAGAAUCAUAUUCCAAAUUUAGAACGAGGUUUGGAAAAGUUGCAAAACCGGUGAAGCUUCUGUAUUCCCGGUACGCUGCCCCCCCCUCGGCUCGAGCUGUCCGCUCGGGUAAGCUAGGUCUAGAACAAUAAACCCAGGUUUUGAACCUAGAAUAACUCAGCCUCAUGCCGGAUCCCUAGUAGGCACGUUUGUUUGCAUCAUGUGCAUUUGACUUUGGGGACUCAACACAAGGGUUGGGUCCGUCUAGGACAGGUAUACCCCAAAAAUAAAAGACCAUCCUGAUGCAUCCUAUGUGCUACAUGUUGCAUUUCUUCAAGGGUAAAAGGGUUAUUUGGCGGACCAAUGUAAUUGAGGGCGAAUGAAAAAAAGAGAGAAAAGAGGAAAAAGAAAAGAGAAAAAAGAGAGGUUGAAGUGUGAGGAUGAAGCGAGUAAAGCCCAAUUAUAUUUUUGUUACAUUUUAUUAAGAAAAAAGAGCAUGGAAACUUCAAAAAGAUUUUGCACUCUUUAUCAUUUUUCAAAAAUCAAAAAAACAAAAUCGAAAAAAGAGAAAAGAAAAUUUAAAGAGAUUUUACAUGUUUCAUCAUUUUCGAAAAAAAAGAAAAAGAAAAAAUGUGUUUUCUAUAUGUCAGUUGUUUUUUUUAUUAUUCUCGCCCGUAUCCAAUCUGCCCGAACUACGCAUACCUGAUUCUCGUCUUUUGAGGCGUGAUGCGUAGGCAACCCACAUAGGGUCCGGUGUUCCUAGUAAAUCUUAGGUUCUUGGCUUUGCGGGGUCUUAGCCAAAUCUUGCGUUUUUAGCCACUUUCAGCCACAUAGGUUAAUUUUAGAAAAAUGGUCACAACCAUGUCUUGCGUGUGUCUAGUAAGGAAUAUUUUCAUCUCACAUAGUGUUGGUUUAAGUUUUCUCAUACAGGUGUGGAUUUAUUUACCAGAGUUUAAGCAUGACAGACACUCCAUGACCAUCCAGUCAGAAUCGCUCAGUCGGGAGUUGCUUAAGGAGAUUUGUUUUAUUUUAAUGUCCUGAGGCUGUUCUUCAUUUUAUGUCGUCUUUUACUUUCUAGUUUUGUACAGUAAUGUCAAGCCUUUUGUUAUUGUAUUUUCUGGUUUAUAUUUGAAAAUAUUCCGUAACUCAAAAAAAAAAGAAGAGAUGUUGCAUUUUAUAUUUCGU
rnacentral:lncRNA from 1 species